UGGGGAAUUUUGCACAAUGGGGGAAACCCUGAUGCAGCGACGCCGCGUGUUUUAGAAGGCCUUCGGGUUGUAAAAAUCUUUUGUAUGGGAAGAAAAUGACAGUACCAUAGGAAUAAGGACCGGCUAAUUACGUGCCAGCAGCCGCGGUAAUACGUAAGGUCCGAGCGUUGUCCGGAAUCAUUGGGCGUAAAGGGUACGUAGGCGGGUAAGCAAGUUAGAAGUGAAAUCCUGUAGCUCAACUACAGUAAGCUUUUAAAACUGCUCAUCUUGUGAUAUGGAAGGGAAAGUGGAAUUCCUAGUGUAGCGGUGAAAUGCGCAGAUAUUAGGAGGAAUACCGGUGGCGAAGGCGACUUUCUGGCCAUAAUCUGACGCUGAGGUACGAAAGCGUGGGUAGCAAACAGG
rnacentral:rRNA from 1 species